rnacentral:rRNA from 1 species
CAGUAGCCGCGGUAAUACGAAGGGGGCUAGCGUUGCUCGGAAUGACUGGGCGUAAAGGGCGCGUAGGCGGAUUGUUUAGUUAGGCGUGAAAUUCCUGGGCUUAACCUGGGGACUGCGCUUAAUACAGGCAGUCUAGAGUGAGGAAGAGGGUUGUGGAAUUCCCAGUGUAGAGGUGAAAUUCGUGGAUAUUGGGAAGAACACCGGUGGCGAAGGCGGCAACCUGGUCCUUGACUGACGCUGAGGCGCGAAAGCGUGGGGAGCAAACAGGAUUAGAUACCCGAGUAGUCCCUGUCUCUUAUAC